rnacentral:rRNA from 1 species
CUAGCGACUUCAGAGUUUGAUCCUGGCUCAGAGUGAACGCUGGCGGCAGGCCUAACACAUGCAAGUCGAGCGGCAGCGGGUCCUUCGGGAUGCCGGCGAGCGGCGGACGGGUGAGGAAUACAUCGGAAUCUGCCCUGUCGUGGGGGAUAACCUAGGGAAACUUAGGCUAAUACCGCAUACGACCCACGGGUGAAAGCGGGGGAUCGCAAGACCUCGCGCGAUAGGAUGAGCCGAUGUCCGAUUAGCUAGUUGGCGGGGUAAAGGCCCACCAAGGCGACGAUCGGUAGCUGGUCUGAGAGGAUGAUCAGCCACACUGGGACUGAGACACGGCCCAG